UUUGUACGGACGCGCUGUGUUACAUAGUAACACUGUGUCUGUUUCACUUGUCUCCUAGGCAACCUGGACGGCUGCGGAAAGCCUGACGCCGGGCGCUGCACUGUGACGUCAGGGCGACUGCAUGCUGCCGGGAUGCCGCGCUCUGGGUGUGUUUGUAUCACUGGUGGCUGGUAUCUAUAUAGAGGUUUGAUGUGAGCUAAACACUGCAGAGCCUAUUUCCUCUAUCCCACAGAAUAUUCUGUUUGACAGCUCACACAUCUGGAAUAUAUAAUGCUGGAGGCUGAGCAGUGAUUUACACUUUAAGGAAAAGAGCAAUGUGGUAACCAGUCAUGUUCCCCUGAUCAUACUACUCAGGACUGCAGAGAUUUAAUACAGUAUGGAUACAAACAGAUCAGGACAACAAGGCAUAGUAAAACGGGGGACAUUUAUUUAUACUGAGGAUGUGAUACAACCAAGCAUAGUCAUUUCACAAGUAAAGUGCUUGCAUUUUGGGAACAUGCUAACACCAUGGUAUUAAAGGUUUAUGCACACUGUAGUGGGUGUCCUGACUGUUGCAGCAAUCUACACAAAAUGGACAGGCUGCCUCUCAAACGCAGACGUUGAAAUUCCAGCGCAUUCUUGGAACUGAUGAAAUGUUUUGCUCUUUGACCAAAUGACACAUUAAGCAAUGCUGGCAGAAUCAUUAACGUUUACAGAGCAACUAAACAGUCAUGUUAUACGUGACAAAGCGCAGACCAAGAGAGGUUUCAUUCUGUGCAAGCAUUAAACUGUGACCGAAAUAAAAUUGAAAAUUGAAAUGGAGAAAUGUCCUUGGAAUCUGAAGACCUAGGAAUCUGUUAUAGUAUCCAGAGGUUAUGAAAACAGCAUACAUUCAAGAUAAUGUGUCAAAACAUAAUGUCGCUCUGUAAAAAGACUAUCGUCAAAGAAGGAAUAAGGUCGGAAACUAGGCUACAUUAAUGACCACUUAAUAACUAAUCCCAUUACUCUCUUUAAUUAAAUACUCACAAAGGUAGUUUCUAAUUUACGCAAGACAUACAGGAGACGAUUUAUCAACGAGGUUUAUCAUAUGUAACAAAUUUAAAAACUUGUUGCGUAUGAUAAAUGGUGCUUCAGCCAAUCAGCUCCUGUCAUGUGUUUAAAAAAAAAGGCAAUUAGGAGCUGAUUGGCUGGAGCCCUAUUUAUCAUAUGCAACAACUUUUAAAACUUGUUGCAUAUGAUGAAACGCGUUGCUAAAUCAGCCCCACAAUUCCUUUCUGCUCUACAUAUAUCUGUGUUAGACGUAUCAGUGACGUGCGGUGAGGUUGAGCCUUUCCGGUCAUAUGAAUGUAUAUGCCAGAGUUUUGACCAUAUCAAGUAUAUGAAAAAUACAAAGAAUAUGUUAAACAUAUCUUCUUUGUAUUAUUCUAAUCAUUUUUGAGUCAAAACUAUGGAGUAAAAAGUCUAUGAUACAGUAGGUGAGGCAGCUUGGUCUUACAAUGAGAUGUACAACCAAAGGAACUGUUCUUUAGGAGAGGUUCUCUUCUUAGGGUGCCCCCAGAUAUUAGAUAAAUGUUAAUGAAUUCUACUGAAAACUGCCUCUUCAAAACUGGGAUCACAGAGCAAUAUCCGAUAUGACACUAUGUAGUUAUUCUUACAUGCAGCACACUUCUUAUAAAAUAUUUGGAAUGCAAAAGAUGUAUGUUGUUUUCAUGGCCACUGCAAGCCUUUUCUGCAACAGUCCUUCAUUAAAUCCAACUG